rnacentral:rRNA from 1 species
GCGGACGGGUGAGUAACGCGUAAGAACUUACCCUAAAGUGGGGGACAACCUCGAGAAAUCGGGGCUAAUACCGCAUACGCUCCGCAAGGAGGAAAGCUACGGCGCUUUAGGAUGGGCUUGCGUCCGAUUAGCUAGUUGGUGAGGUAAUGGCCCACCAAGGCUUAGAUCGGUAGCUGGUCUGAGAGGAUGAUCAGCCACACUGGAAUUGAGAUACGGUCCAGACUCCUACGGGAGGCAGCAGCAGGGAAUAUUGCGCAAUGGGUGAAAGCCUGACGCAGCAACGCCGCGUGGGGGAUGACGGCUUUCGAGUUGUAAACCCCUUUUCUUGGGGAAGAUAAUGACGGUACCCGAGGAAUAAGUCUCGGCUAACUACGUGCCAGCAGCCGCGGUAAGACGUAGGAGGCGAGCGUUAUCCGGAUUUACUGGGCGUAAAGGGCGUGUAGGUGGUUCUCCAGGUCUUUGGUGAAAUCUCCCGGCUUAACUGGGAGGCUGCCAGAGAAACUAGAGAACUUGAGGGCAGCAUAGGGGAGUGGAAUUCCCGGUGUAGUGGUGAUAUGCGUAGAGAUCGGGAGGAACACCAGUGGCGAAAGCGGCUCCCUGGGCUGUACCUGACACUGAGGCGCGAAAGCGUGGGGAGCAAACAGGAUUAGAUACCCUGGUAGUCCACGCUGUAAACGAUGGAUACUAGGUAUGGGGGGUAUCGACCCCCUCCGUGCCGAAGCUAACGCUUUAAGUAUCUCGCCUGGAGACUACGGCCGCAACGCU